UGGGGAAUAUUGGGCAAUGGGCGCAAGCCUGACCCAGCAAUGCCGCGUGAAGGAAGAAGGCCCUCGGGUUGUAAACUUCUUUUAUCAGGGACGAAGGAUGUGACGGUACCUGAUGAAUAAGCUCCGGCUAACUACGUGCCAGCAGCCGCGGUAAUACGUAGGGAGCAAGCGUUAUCCGGAUUUACUGGGUGUAAAGGGCGCGUAGGCGGGAUGGCAAGUCAGAUGUGAAAUCUAUGGGCUUAACCCAUAAACUGCAUUUGAAACUGUCGUUCUUGAGUACUGGAGAGGUUGACGGAAUUCCUAGUGUAGCGGUGAAAUGCGUAGAUAUUAGGAGGAACACCAGUGGCGAAGGCGGUCAACUGGACAGCAACUGACGCUGAGGCGCGAAAGCGUGGGGAGCAAACAGGAUUAGAUACCC
rnacentral:rRNA from 1 species